UACGGAGGGGCUAGCGUUGUUCGGAAUUACUGGGCGUAAAGGCGCGUAGGCGGCCGAUCAAGUUAGAUGUGAAAGUCCUGGGCUUAACCUGGGGACUGCAUUUGAUACUGAUUGGCUUGAAUUCGGGAGAGGAUAGCGGAAUUCCCAGUGUAGAGGUGAAAUUCGUAGAUAUUGGGAAGAACACCGGUGGCGAAGGCGGCUAUCUGGACCGACAUUGACGCUGAGGCGCGAAAGCGUGGGGAGCAAACAGGG
rnacentral:rRNA from 1 species